GACACCACGUUUCGCGCUCAAAUGUCAGUCGCCAUUUUUAUCCGAUCAUUUCUUGACGCGUUGUGGAAUAUUUUCGUAGUUUUAUUGCAUUUAUUAAUGUUCAUAAACCUAGUGUGUGAUAUGAAGCAUAUUUUAUACAUUACUAUCGGAUUCUAAACAGCUUGGAAAAAAGUCGAUAGAAAAACUGGAGAACAACGAUGGUACGCGAAAUAUCCAAUAGAAAAGGUUGCGCGAAAAAGGAAAAUUGCACAGAAUUUACAAUAAAUUUCCAGUCAAAGAGAUUAAGAAAUUUUAGAAUAAUGGACGUUAAGGGAUAUUCGUUUACUUUUAUGGCUUUAUAUAGGGAGCAUCCGUUCGGUUGACGAUCCUUGUUAAUCCUUCGUACGCGAUUCCGCAAGCUCGCAUUACAAUGGUAAUACACGGUAUUACAAUAAACGUUUUGGGAUAAAACUUUUAUACUUUGGGAGAACAUAUUUAUAUCCAUAAUUCUUUUUACUAAAACCAAUAAAAAAUAUAAAUAAAAAAUAUUAAAAAUAAUUUUAUCUCAAAUAAUAUUAUACAAUUAAAAUAAAAUUCGCAAACGCACAUUCUUGAUCUCGAAUUUAAGAAACGAGUUUAGAAAUAUUAAAUUUCUAAUAGAUGCAUCUAUAGAUUCCAAAUGAAAUAAAAAGAAAAAGGGAAUAAUAAUAAUAACAAUAAGAUAGAAACGUAUUUAGAAAAGGAGGAGUACAUCGGAUAAUCAUUCCGAAAUUAAAGUUUAAUAUUCGCUCGAAGCAUCGAAGCGUCGAGCCAAUCGUUCGUAUUCAUAUAACGUUUCCCCUUUCUUUACUCGUGAAUUCUUUCUUCUUGGAGAAGAUUCAUACCGGAAUUCAUAAGAAAUAGUGCAACGCUAGGCAAAUACGGAAUCUCGGAAGGUAGUCGCAAGUUCCGGGCAAUUUUCUUCUUUUGCUUGUAAUCGCUUCCACGAUCGCGUCUUUCAACGUGGAGCAAAGGGUCGGCAAAAGGGUGGAAAAUAAGGGAAACAGACGCCGGAACGAAGAUGGACGCACAAAGAAACGGUAUGGCUGAUAUAGAGAAGAGGGUACGAUAAGCAGGACGGUGGAUAAAUAGAGGACGAGAUAAGGUGGAUUUGUAGGGGGAAGAAAUCGAAAAAUUUAUACGAUGGAAUUUUUACAAGAUAUACUUUCGUGAGUGUAUCUCAAAAGAUUACACUUGAACGUGUUGUAAUAGAAAAAAGGUACGUCAAGAUUAUCAUCUGAUGAAAAAUGAAAGAUGGAAAGACACAUUUCCGCCAUGCUUCGUUGGAUUAUUGUAAAAAUUGCAAUACUUCUUUAAUUAAUAUUUUAAUAUAACAAAAAAAGGAAUGGAAUUUUAUUUUUAUCCUUCCAUCAAAGAAGAAUGAUUCUUCAAGUUGUAGAAGAAGAGAAAAAAAAUUACAAUUCGCAAUAACUGAAAUAAAUAAACUCGAGACAUCGAAAGAAUUUUUCAAAAGAUCCUGAAACUCUUAUUACAAAUUUCUUUCGAAAGAAUGAAAAAACUUUCAGAACAAUCUUUACGUAAACGAGAACGUAAAUUUCAAGUUGGAAAUCAUCGGGGGAGGGGGAGGGGGCGAAAGAAACGCGAUGCAAAUGCUCCAUAAUUUGUUUCUGCAGAAACGAAAGGGCGCGAUAAGGGGGGUGAAUUCAUCGUGACGUGAGUUUGGCUCCAAGUUUCGAAGGAAUUCAAGUAUUUGUAACUUUAUCUAAAUCUCGAGAAACAAAAGAGAAAGUGGAGCGAAAGAAAUGUCAAAGUGCAGAGACUUGGAGUAAAUUUCGAGUAUAACAAUUUGCACGAAAUGCGGAUAACGAAUAUCAUUUCCGAUUUUAUCCGCGAUAGAACGUUCGUUCUUCCUCGAGAUGCUAUCGAAACGAUCCUCGUUAAUCCGUUAAAAUUUAUUAUUGAAUUGAUAGAAUAUAAUCGUGGUUAAUCGUUCAAUCUUUUUUUUAAUCUAUGCGCAAUUUUUGCAUUCCAAAUAUUGUGAAAUUUAUUUAAAAUGAAACGAGCGAUGAAGCUGCAAAGGAAAGUAAUCCCACGCGAUACAAACAUUAAAAAAAUUUAUAAAUAACGAUGCGUCAUAAAUAUUUACGUCGGCACGCGUGUAAAUCGAGAUAAACGCUAUUAUGAGGCGACAUGAAACGGAUGUUUGAAAUAGAAAAAAACGUGGUGUACGGAUGUAUCGUUCGCAAAGAGUGAAUAUAAAUGCCACUAAUAAUAAUUUUACAUAUUCUUAAUUAAUUCUUAUUUAUUAGGAAAUUCUUGCCAACUCGAUUAUGAAAGACCAUAUAAUUUUCUUUAUUUCCAUUCUUUUCGCUAAGAAAUUUAAGAGAUUCUUAUUUAUCAGGAUCCAUCUUAUUGUCAAAUACAUGACUCUAUAACUGGAUCACGAGAUUAUACAAUUAUCUUUUCCAUUCUUUUCAUUCGCUAAGAAAUUUAACAUCACAAGAGGAUCGUUUUCAUGUAUAUUCUUUUCAACAAAAUGCACUAUACACAUUUAUCAAAACUCGUUACUUUCUUUAUUACGUUCUAAAAAAUUCUACAGGGAUAGCGCGUGUCGAUAUGGAAACCUAGUCUGUCGGCUAACAAAUUCGUCGAUGUCGCGGUUUAAAUACCACGUUCGCUGUCUUUCGCCCGAACGAGCCCGUUUCAUCGUCGCGAAAAUCGCUCGAUACGCGAUAUCCAAUUUAAAUCACUUCCGCCGUUUUCACGGGAAAGGCAGGAGAGGGGGAAAGGGCGAAAGAAUAGAUAGGAGGAGAUAAAAAUCGAGGGGAAAAAGAAGAAAUCCUCUUAAACGAUUCGUGAACGCAAAGAGCGCGGGAUAUUAAACGUUCGAGGAGCUUGGAAAGCGGCGAUUAUGAUAACGAGGAUAAAUUCGGGUUAAACGUACGAUUAUGAGGAUCUACGAAUUAUUAAGAGAUUGAUAAUUUGAUACCCGAUGUAUUUCUGUUUGGUCAAAGUGAUAUAUUUCAACUGCUCUCGAUGACGAAAGGAAAUGAUAAAGAAAGGCGAAAAAUCUGCUCGUCGAAAGGGAUUUUUUUAUGAUCUAAUAACUUUUUAAAUGACAAUCUGGUGAAUCGAAAGGAGGAUAUUUUUUUGAGAAAAGGAUUCUUGUACCGACAAGGUACAAAAGAAUCUCAAAAUUCAAAAUUAAUACACAAUUUAGAAAAAUACUCUUCGUAUACAUCUCGAUUACCAAUUAAGGUGAACUCGAAAGAGUCUCGAAAAACCUGGCCGAAACUCGCAUUUGAAAUCCAACUAACUGCAUUAAAGUUAUAAAUCCGUCGUCCUCUUUCAAAGAAUUUUGAAAUAUAUUUUUCCACGGGAAAAUAAGCACAACUUAUAAUUACCAGACUAAAUAAGCCGGCCGAGCGAUCAAAGAAAAAGUGUUUCUUUCUCGACUUGUGAUCUCGCGGGACAAGGACGCGAUCAGUUUGAUCAAAUUUAGAUGAGAAGAGAGGAAUUUCACGAAACAAGCGCCGAGUUAGCUCGAAACAAAUUAACAAAUUGAGAGAGAGCCAAGUUAAACAUUUACGAAUCUAGGAAAAUUAAAAAGCAAUAUCAAAAUCGAAUUUAAAUUUGUAAUAAUAAAAAUGUAAUAUAAUAUCCUCCUCGAUUGAUUCGAGGAUCCGUAUUAACAAUCCCUGACGAAAUUCCUGUUGAAUCGCAACGGUUGAGAAAUCGAAGAGAGACACAGUUUGCGACUAACACACCAUUGAAUUUUACUCCCCCGUUAAAAGGAUAUACAAAAUCCAAUAACCGAUAUUUCGCAAACAGGAGAAAUGAAGAAGAACACUGUAGAUAUUCGACUAUUCUACGCAAACAAUUCAAAUACUUUUUCAAGUAUUGCUCAUUUAAUCCACUUCUUCGACGUGAAAUUUAACGAUACUUGGAGAUACGUGUCGAUUGCGUGAUCCUUCAACGAUAUAUUCCAUCGUCGAUUUUUUGAUCCGGACAUUCUGAUUCAUUUUGAUUCUGUUUCCGCCGAUUGAACGUUCUUAAUUGGCUCCAACCUCGUUCCAUCCGCGUCCAACACCGCAAUCCUAUGCACGGUAUAAAGUGGUUUCCGAUACAUACCUCCCGUAUUUGACCGAAACUGCACGGUGAACGAAUGUUUUUCAUGCGGCUCACUUUCGAAUCUACCCGCUGCUCGAUUUUUGAGGUUCCGAUUGUUCGAUGUGAAACCUCGAUAUACUUAUUUCGCUAUCUCGAAAUUGAAUCUCGCGUACUUUUCACUUAUCAUUUCUGGAAUGGAAAGUAUAUGUGUGUAUGUAUUUUUUUUCGAAAGUAUCGAAAGAAUUUCGAUGGUACGGAUGGGAAUACGAGGAUGAUGGAUUUGUCAAAUACUUUGUUUUCUUCUCGUAGAAAGAUGGGACGAUUGCUUUCGUUGUUUCUAUUAGAAUUCGUGUGGGAAUAAAUCUAACUAUCGGCUUAUUCCACUUUAUCGAUCGUGAUUUCAUUUUGUUCUACUUGCGUGGCCAGGUAAUUUUCUAUUCGGCUGCCCUCGUUCCACUUUUUUCUUACUCACCUGUGAUUCUCUUAUCUAUUUGUUUGAACCUGUGCUUAUUUUAUCCCAUUGCAUCUCUUUGUAUUGAUUUUUGUCAACGAAUUAUUCGAUAUGAAUUAAAAAUCCAAGAAUUUGUAUAUAUCCGCAGAAAUCAAUCGAAUUCGAAAUCUGAAAAAUUCUUGGAAGGAGAAGGAGAAGGGAAGGAAAAGGAAAUCGAUGUGAUUAACAACCGUUGGGGGGAGGAAAUGACGCGUUCGUGUCCUUUUGAGGACAAAGCGACUGAUCACAUUUUAUCCGACUCGAACGUUCUGAAAAUUCAAAGAAGCAGCAGGCAGGCUCAUCAGGUUGUACACGCGGGGCUCGCUCGGGCGUGAAUUAAUUGGAUAAAAAAAUCUUUUAGCCGGGGAAAAGGAAAAGGCUUUCCCAACGAUUGAGCGCUAUUCUUUCGCCGAGAAAUGCAUUCACCCUCCCCCCUCAUCGAAAAAUGCAAUUAAUGCGCCGGAAUGAAAUCGCGAAGAAAGACGGUUCGCACAGUUAACUGAGCCCCAACUUGUAUUUGCGCUGGUACUAUUUCUCUAAAAGGAGGGACGGGAACAAAGGAGGGGUAGCAGAAAAAAGAAAAAGUGCUAUUAUCUAGGAAUUCGAUGCAAUUUCCUCCUCCAUCGGCCGAUUGUUUCGUCCCCCAGUUUUUCGACUUUUUCCCUUGCUUCUUCCACUCCUCUUCCUUCGAUCGAUCCGACCGAAUAAAUCUCUUUCCUCCCUAUAAUUCAAUUAAAACGUAAUUAACAAUCGAUCGAAAUUCGAGACGACACAAUCGCAAACGACAAACGUUUUUUUCUUCUUUUCUGGUCGCGUGUAUCAGUGGUAAAACUCGAUCACGCGUCAGCCACGAGUAUAAACCAAGCACAAACUACGACAUAACUCGAUCCCCUCCGUGAUACGCAAACUUCGUAUCUUGCGACGUAAUUUCGUUCGUGUCACGUAUCUCCCGCAUCCGACUUGUUUACAUGUCACUUCUAUCGUAGAAAUUUUAACCGUUUAAAGAAUAUAAAAUUAAUUAAUUAGCAGGAAACCCGCGUUUGCAAAUUUGCCAGUCGAGUGGGGAUCGAUGAUUGCACUCGUUUCUUCCUCCAAAUUCCAUCGCGGAUAAGAAAAUUUCGCGAAAAAGACGAGGGGGGAGUGGAAGGUUUCCCAUUUCGCUCGCGAAAUGGAUGUAACGCACAUCCUAUUGCUUCCAUUCUCUCCGCGGAGAAACAUGUCCAUGUACCGGCAUUGUUCGAUCGUUUCCAUCCCCCCUAAACGCGGUUCCUUCCAACGAUAACUUCGAUACGCUGUCUGUCCCUCGAUGGGGAGAGACCUUCUUGGAACGUGUCCAUCCGUGGAUGGUGACUAUAGAAAGGCUAUAAGAAACUGGGGAAGGAGGUUCUUGGAACACGAACGAUUCGCCUCGAACCACCAGAGUCGCGAAUUUAUUGGUUUAAAUGGAGAGGGGAGGGGAUGGAAAGGCUCUAAAAGGUCGUUGAAUAUCGGGCUCGGAGGAAAAGGGAAGAAGAAAGUGUAUUCUUUGAGUAGGAUUCUCCGAGAGGGUUGAAAUAUUGCGUUGGUGGUUAAAGGGAGGAACGGAGUGUGAGGGUAAAUUGUUUCAUUUUUUCUUUUUAUACAUCGAAUGCAAGUUAUUUAAACUUGAAUUUGAUUGACGAUUAUUUGUUUGUUAGAAAUUGUUGCGUUUGAUUUGUGAUGGAAUAAAUACGACAUCGGGAGGAAAAAAUAUUAUAAUUUGAGAAUUUGUAAGAAAAACCCGUUUCUAAUGAAUAAAUUACGAAUUAUAUUUAUUUCAGAUCGUUUUUAAAUCAACCUGGAAAUACUUACGAUUCAACAUAUAUAUAUAAUUAAACCAAUAGUUCAUAGUUUCGAUAUUUGUUUUGUAAUAAUUACAUAAACAAUAUUUAUAACUUAAGUUUAAUUAUUAUAAAUAGAUAUUUCAUCCCUGUGCGCUUUUCACGAUUAUUUGCGAAGAAAAAUGAAAAAUGAGAAAGAUGAAGAUGACUCGAACGAAUUACACGAUGUCACUCGUGUCAAUAAUUGUUUAUUUGUAAUUGAAAAGUAACUUGGAAUCGAGAGAUGCAAAUAACUGCGGCCUGCGUUUGUGUAUUUGAACGAACGAAGAGAAAUUUACAAACUUCAUCGAAUAUCGCCAUCAGCGAAAUUUUAAACGACGCACGAACAUUGAAACCUUUAAAUAAUAACACGAGAAAAUCACGUUUCGCGGUGAGAAUUUAUUCAGCUUCACGCGUUUCCCACGAAAUCGCGUUAUUUUUGAUUUAUUUAACAGAAAAUUUUCGAAAUUUGGCGAAGCGGAUGUACAACGCAAUUAUUAUUUUCUAGAUAAAUUCUUUGGAACUCCGUUAUAUAUAAAAUUUGGUUUCAAAAAAGACGAAAUUAUCAAGCAAAUUUUUAUACUUCUUCCUUAUUCAAAGUGUCUUAAAUUUACCGCAAUGGGAUGUUAGAAUUAACCAGAAUGAAGAUCGUGCAUAUAUAUUUAUAAUGAAUAAAUUCUUUAUUGUAUAUUUUUACAUAGAAGAUACGAUAGAAUAUUUACAAUGUAAAUUAAAACACAUUCCAAUGUAACAAUAUUUACAUAUAACAAUUUUUAAUAACAGUAUUUUCUAUAUAAGAUAAGAUCUGUCUAUAUGUACAAUUGUUUGUAAUGUAACUUUGGUAGCGAAUAAUAGACAAUUCGACGAGUACGACAGUUCAAACCAUCUGGUUCGAAUGUACUUGAACAAAACAUCAUACCAAAAUGGCCUCAUUAACGGCGUGCUGCGAUUCCUCGUUAAUGGUGAAUGCCAGUUUACCAAGUUGACAUAUUACAAGUGCCAUUGGCACCGACUGACAUCGAAUGGUUUUUAGCGAUAAUGGGCCGAUAUACGAGCUAACUAUCCUACGAAAUUUAAUCAACGGUUGUUAACGCAGCGGAGGAGAGGAAAGACGUAAAGACGAAAGGCAAGAUUAAUAAAAAUUUCGAUUUUAAUAUUUUUUUCGAUGUUCGAAGAUUACGAACCUUUUCACUUCAUGGGAUGAAAAAUUCCUCCGCGCUCUUUCCUCAUUUGUAUUCAGAAAAUUCUACUCGGCGAGGUUCGUGGAACCUGAAAUUUCAACUUACUUUUAACUGACGUGUCAUAAAUUCGGUUGGAACAGUGGGGAAUAGAAUAAAGUUGAAGCUGAAAUAAAGCCCAUCUUCCGAAAUUGUACGUUAAUGUAACGUACCAUAUAAUUUCUGAAGCUCGAUAAUCGAUCGAUCCUCGAACCUAAUUAAUUUUUAACACCCAACAUGUCGAAAUUGAUACGGAAGUUUCGAAUAUCUUUACGAAUUUUCUAUCUUUCGAGGGAAGUGCAUUACAAUUCUUUUUCUUUUCUUCUUGGCAAAAUUUGACGUUCUACAUUUUUCGUUUCCGUACAACUUUAAAAAGAUAAAUUCCAAUAUUUCACAACUCGUGCAUCAUCGUAGCAUUACGCGUCUCAAAAUUUUCCGAUAUUCGUAAUCCAAAAUUUCUCCAAAAUUCCAACCAGCCGAGGAAAACAAAAAAAAAAAGAAAUUCACGAAUCUCAGAAUUUUCAUAUCGGAUCCAAUAUUAUCAACGUCCAUUUCGAAUCGUCGAUUCCGUCCUCCAGAAUUUAAUGGAAACUUGCGACGCGCGAGAAUCGUGCGAGAACGAAUGAUUAUCAUUAUCGUCGGUGACACGGGGGGAUUAAUCCCCCGGAAAUGACGAAAACGUAUUUAUAAUUGCGGAUGGCGUGUUCUCGUCACUUUAUAAUCCUCCUUUUGCAGUUCGCGUUACGGGCCGUCGCUUUGUGCGGACGAAAAUGAAUCCCAUCGGUAUUGCUUUUGGCCCGGGGGUUGCAGAUAUACGAUCACGCGCCUCUCAAAGGAUCGGACGAGGAGGGGAGAAAGGGGGAGAGAGGGGGCGGAUAUAUUUUUCCAGAAUUUCGAUAAAUAAAGGAAUUUCUCCCUCGAUUCGGGGGGAGAAAAAGGAAGAACGAGCACGGGGAAAAUGUAACUACAAAUUAUUCGACGUUGAAGUUUUGGAAAUUGAAAAUAUCAUGGAAAUAAGUCCUAUCUAAGAUAGCGAUGAAUUAAUUGAAUUCUUAAUUAUUUUUCAUCGUCACCAUUUCAUACUAUUCAAUUUCUUAUUCGCGUUCAAUGAGAAAUAGUUUAAUUAACUCGCGUAAGAUAUGGACGAGAAUACGUAAAAUACAAAACCAAUAUCGUUCAAUUUCACGUGUCGAUCGAAUAAUAUCGACGCCAACUAUAUUUAUUUCAACGAAUCCGAAUAUUUUACAAAUAAUAUAUACCAGCCAGCAAACAUCCCGAUUCCCAAUACCACCUUUUAAACCUUCGUUUUAUUUACCGGUUAAACGGAACCUGAAACCUUGCCAAUAAAAAAAAAAAUCCUCCCCGAUACAAAACAAAUUCGUAGAAACGAAUCUACCCGAUUCGAAACGAAACGAAACCCAAGUUGGAAAAAGAAAAGGAAGGAAAUACGAAUCCUAACGUGUGGCUCGAUGCGCGAAGCAGCGUUGUUUAAAAGCGUGAUCGAUAAACAAACGAGCGGGGCACGAUGAGAGGGGAAAUUGUCUGUUUUAACCGGUUUGAGCCGAGGAAUCAUCCCCUCGCCUCGCGCGUCAAUAUUUACUCGCGUCCUGUUACGAAUAAAGCCGAUGUUUACGGGCCGUCAAUGGAAAAAGAAGGCGCGCACAUUCAUCGUUCCUUUCUCCCUUUCACACACGUGAUGGAAUAAGAAUAAGGAGAGCGAGAGGAAUUUGAUCGAAAAAGUUGGCCAGGCAAAAACGAAGGGGGUCCAGUUUACUUUAUUAAAUUUUAUUCUUAAUUGAAAAUCCAGAUCUAGUUGGAUUACGUGUAUUUAUAUGCUGCUAUUAUAAAAUCAUACGUUUGAAAUAAUAUUGAUGGAUUGUGGCGAGAAAUCUUAAUGAUACGUGGGUAAUUAUACCGUCGUAUAAUUCUUUGAAUACAUUUCAAAAUCAUGUGAUGUAAUAAUAGGGUAUUCAGUUUUAACCCUUUACUUUGCAAUUCGUUCCAGUGAAUAGUGGUUCAGAACGUUACGGCUAAAGUAAAAGAUUGAAUCAUUACCUACGAUUUGUAUUCAACACGGAACGGUAUAGUAAUUUGGAGCAAAAAUGGAACAUUGAUGUAUAAGAAUAUCUUAAUCUUCUGAUCAAAUGGACAAUUUGUAUAUCCAAGAAAAAGUUUGUGAAUUGACAAGUCGUUUAAUAAGAAGAUCAUAUCGAAUGAUUUUCAAUUAUUACUUUCGCUACUUGUUUCGAUAAACAACACUAUCAACCCUUCGAAUUCUGAACGCAAGAGAGGACGUUGAAAUUCUGAGAUAUGUUCUUUCAUAACAGCAGGAUAUUUCAUAUCUUCCUACGCUUUCUACGAAACGUCAGAUUUCCCUUUGUUGCCUGAGAUCUCCAUUCAAAAAGGAAGGUAAUACAAUACAAAAGCGUUACAUUUUCAGAGACACGGAAACAAGUAUUCCGCGAGUAAGGAUUCCCUCGUCCUUCUCAAACUUCGUAAUUACAACGGCGAGAAAUCACAGAGAACUAUACAUCGCGCUCGUGACACACUGUAAUCUCUAUUGAUAACUAAAUAAUAAUCGAGAAUCUUUUAUAUCGAUAUCAAAAAAAAAAUCGUUGGAGCUGCAAUAUCUUUAUUUUCGAUCGAAAUUUGAUCAAAAUUCAAUCCCUUGAACUUGUAUUUUAAUCGUAGUUUAACAAGCUAGAAGAAGCCACGAAACAAAUACUCGGAUAAGAAGUAUUCUCCAAGCAUUGAACGCACUGGCGCGCUGCAAAUAUAUUCGUCGUCUAAUUUAACCACAAAACUCUCGAAACAAAUUUCACUGUGUGAGACGGUAGUCAAAAAUUAGCGAGUCUACGGCAGCUGGGGAGAACUUGGGCGGAGAAUUGACAAGAACACGUACGCGUAUUCGCAUUUGCAAUUCGGAAAGUUCGAGUUCUGGUCUUGUGAGUUUAUACAUGCGCAUCUUGAGAACUGAGCCAUCUUAAAAGGAAAACUUCCUUUCGUCCGACUUCCAGUUUAAAAGAAAUUAUAUUGACUGCGGAGUUCCUCCGUGUUUCUGUUCUCCUUUGUUUGAUUUCAUUAUGCGUUCAUUCAAUUUCUCUCGUGGCUGGAUCUUUUCUUUUGCGCGGAGGAAUCGGUUUUAAUUAGCGAUCUUUGGUUCACGUGUAUUGAAAAAAAAAAUGGAGAAAGUUACGUGAUCAUUUUCUAUAAUAACGGUUUAACAGAAUUAUAUUUCGAUUCUACAAUAUUUCUUUUUUUAGGAUAGAAGUGGAAUUGAAGAAUAAGGUAAUCCACGGAUUUUUCUUUAAAAUUAAACGUAAUGAUUUAGAUUGGAAAAGAAUCCAAGUCUUUUCGAUUGCAUAAGAUUUAUCAUUUGCAUAGAGGUUGUAGUUCAUGAUAUAAAUUGUUCAAAUAAUAACGUAGAAAUCUAUAGAAUAUAACGAUGAAAAACAAUGUGCAGAUUCAAAAGUUUUGUUUGCCAAUCCAAUGGCUAAGUAUAAUUAAUUAUUAUCUGGAUUAUUGUCUCUAAAUUUUAUAUCAAAAUUAUCCUAUUAUUGAUAUUGAUUCGAAUCAAUGAUUCAAACAGAUUAUAUUGUCUUUGUUAAUCGAAUAAAUCUAUAAAAUAAUAAUAACGAUUAAAAUAUAAUUGAUUAAAUUUUUCGUCUAAUUAAAUUAUAUUGAAUUGUUUUUCUAUCGUUUUAUUAAUGCCAUUUAUAUAUAUUAUUAAGCAAAUACAUAAUUAACAAAUAUAUUUAGUAUGAAAUCCACAGAUUGGUCGAUCUGUUUUCCAUUAAUUCAAUCUUGCUAUUGCUUGUUCAAUAUAUGUAUAUCUAUAAUUGUGAAAUGAUAAUGAACUAUAAAUUCAUCGAUAUUAUGAAAAACAUAAUAUUGUAAGUAUUAUAUAAUAAUUAUAAAUAAAUAAUGUUUUAAAAAUUAUUUAUAAAUAAUAUUACAUAUAUAUAUAUAUUAUAAGCAUCGUGUUGUUAAGUUUAAAAUUUCUAAUCUCAUAAUUAAUAGCUUUUCUAUUGCUUCAUUAAUUUAAUUAAUAUAACAUUAUAAUAUUAUCCUGUUAAUCCCUCGUAUAUUAUUUGCCAUAAAAUCCAUAUUAUCUAUUAUCUUCUAUAAUUUCAAUGUGAUCAACAUUUAUAAAAUGAUACUAAACUAGACAUAUAAUACAUUCAACGUGACUGAAAAUUUAACGAUUUCCCAAUUCAAAAUAAAAUAAAUAUGAAGAAUAAAGAAAUUUCAUUUUAUAUUAGUUAUUAGCGAUUAAACUUACUAUACAAAUAUAAAAGCGUCAAAUUAAAUAAAUUUAAGUUUUUAUAUUUUUUUUAUAUCACAACAAGAUAGACCAUUGCAAUCACCAUUGCGGGAUCGAAAAUAAAACUUCAAGCUUUUCCAUCAAAACGCACGUGAGAGAUGGAGAAAGCUAUGCCAUUGAAUUCGCUUUUUGAAUUAUCUCGAUAUCUCGAUCGGUUGCCGAGAUAUAAGGAUUCAAAGUUUCCGCAAUGUUUAAAAAAUUAUGAAUGGCGCGCGACCCAGUGACCUACAUUUUUUCGUGGAAGUAGUACGCGCUUCCAGGAAUCGCGUCUGCCACUCGUCUGGAGUUUGGGAUAGGUCAGUGAGUCGAGGUGCGAGCGAGAGAUCCGAGUAAGCGAGAAGGACGGAGAUGGUAAACGAUCAAAAAUUACCCUUCGCUUUACACGACGAUAUCUCGGGAACCGGAAGUCGUAUCGGGAUAAAUCAAAGAGAGUUUUAAAGGGCAAGGAUCCGCGCUUCUAACGAUCUUUCAUCCGUCGAUAAAGAGUCAUUAUCUUCGGAGUUACAACGGUUUAAAGUUUCUCUAAUUUUAAUACGAUUCGAUCGAGUUUUAAGGUAAAUUACGUGAUCAGAUACAUUUAAUUCUGGAAACAUGUUGCUAUAACGAUCUUGUUAAUGAUAUAUUGAAGAUUCUGAUUUAAAAAUUAUUCCAUGCUUUAAUAAUUAUGUUAAUUAAUUUUUUGGAUUCGGCGAAAAGAAAUCCUAAAACUAUCUUUUUUUCUAGAAAAGAAUAGCUUUUUUUUUUUAUAUAAAAUAAGUUGUUACUCAUGUUAUUUUAUUUUCAAGAAUUAUUAUUAUUUUAUUUCGAAGAAUUACCAUUUACUAUAAUAAACACAUAUAAUACUGUAGUAUUACAUAAUUUUUAGAAAUUUAAGCUAUUCUUCCUCUAAAAUUCUCGCAAUUGAUCGUCUCAUUUACCAUUAACCCCUUCAUUUACGAAAUUCAGAUCGCCUAGGCCAUUUCCAACCUCUCGUAGGUUUACCACCGGCAAUUCUCUGUCAUGCAGUGUGCAUCGGAUGAUCCGCACGAUGUCAAACAAUUCGGUUAACCCAAAGCAACGUAGCAAGGUAAUCGUUCUCGAGCAAGUUCGUCUUUCAUUGCGUCUCCGUUCAUCCAUUGUUAUGUAAUCUUCUGAAACAGCGGUUCAAAUGAACAAUCGCAUCGAUGGAACAAUAAAUAUUGCCGCUUUGAACGUUCCAGUGUUUGCCGAUCUGUUUAAGGCGGCUGUGAUUAAUGAUCACGUGCCGAUUACGAGAUUGAUAUGAAUGAAUCUUAAUGUUUAUCCAUUUUUUAAAAAAUAAUAAUCGUUAAAAAAUUAUUAACCCGAAUAAACGAUUUAUACUGAUGAAAAUGAGAAAGUGAAAUUCGAAAUAAUACAAGAAAAUUUCACACAGUAGAUCGUACAUAUUUUUCUUAAUUUUUAGUUUUAUUUAUUUUUAUUUAUGUUUAUAAUAAUUUUCUGUUGUGAAAUUUAAUCAAUUUUUGAAUGUAGCUCUCACGAUUUCUUUACAUACAACUGUUCUUAGAGUCAUUUAUUGAAUAGUAGAUUAUUUGGAAAAUAUCUCUAAUUUUCAUCCUUAAAUAUUUUCAAAUAUUAUAUUUUUAAUAAUCUUGUAAUCCAAAUUCCAACAAGUAUUUAAUAAUUUGUACAUACUAUUCGUGUUAUUAUUACAGAAGAUUAUUUCUUUAACAUUUAUAAUAAAUCUUUUUUAUUUUUAAGUGAUAAUUGAAUGAUUUCAGUCGAUAACAACCGAUUAUUAAGAAUAUCUAAUAAACAACGAUAAAAUAUAAUAAGAUUAUUUCAAACGUUGCAAUGUUAGUAAUGAUUCUUACAGAUUUUUCGUCUCAAGAAGUUUUCUAUCGAAAGAUAGAUCGUUUUUGUUGCGGAGGAGAAGAGUAAAGUACACGUCGUAACGAGCAGUUUUUGCUUUCCUCCCAAGUUUAUGGAGUCAAGCAUUCUCGUCAAGUUGUUAUUAUCUCUCCAAUGUCUUCUUGACGAUUAUUUUAUCCUGUAUAAAUUCUCAACUCAUAUAGAUAUUAAACAUAACACGAGACAAUAAUACAUUUAAUACGAAAUAUCCAAUUUUCAAUUUUUAAUUCGUAAUUUUAUUUAUAAAUUAUUUAUUGAAUGUAAUUCAAAACUGAGUGUAUCGGAUUAUUAAAAUAAUUUUUUUCUUUUUUUUUUUUUUUUGCUGAAAAUGAUUCCAGCGAUAAAUUGAAUCGAUAAACCGUUCACUCCAAGCCCUUUAUCUAGUACAUUUUGCAACACAAUCCUCUCUACUGUUGUUGCUCGAGCAUUGGUAAUCUAGAUACGGCUAUGUAACGAACAAUAACUUUCUAGUGUUACAAUUCAAACGAGAAGUGCAAAGCUCGAGUUAUAUCAUGGUUAUAUCAUAAAGUAUACUUCGACAACAGUUUCGCGCUACAGCAUGGAAUAUAUUGUUUCGAGAGUCAAUCCGUUUGACAAAUUUCUAACAUCGAGCGAGCACUGUACAGCGAAUUAAUCGAGUAUAUUGAGCGGACGAAAUACAGUUAAUAGAGAUAUUUAUGUUUGUUUGAAAGAUACGUCCUUUGUUCUUAAUUUCCAUAAAUGGAAAAUUAACGCAUCGUAAUAAAUUAUUUAUUAAUUGUAGGUAAUUAACCGUUAUUUAAAAUUAUUACAAUUGUAAAGAUACUUUCUGAAUACAAUAAUUCAUGUUUGUAUAUAUAUAAUUUUUUAGGAAUCUCAAAGAAAUUCUCAAGCUAUUAUUUUUAUAAACAGAAAGUUAAAAAAUUUGAAAUUCAAAUCCUGUAUUUCUUGUUAUAUUUCGGUGAACAGGCACAACAGGUCGUAAUUAUAACAAUUUUUUUUCCAAAAGAGUAAUUCUGAAGUGGAAAAGAAUUUUUCGAAUGUGAAAAGAAAAAAAAGUAACAUUUACAUUUCAACUAUUUAACACGACUGAAAAACACUGAAAUUUCAAAUUACAAAAUUUUCCCCCUUACAAUUCCGUAUUUCAACCUUUUCACGUUUUCUAAUAUACAAUGUAACGAAAGAAAUUUACAUAUAAUUUUAAAUAUUCCCUUCAAGAACACUCCAAAUGCAAGGAGGAAUAACAUUUUAAUCUAAAUUUUAAACUCCCCCAUUAUCCCAAGCGCCGAAUUCAAAGUUUUAAAAUUAUGCCCCCUUAAAAUUCAACUCCAUUCUCUCUCUCUCCCCCCCCUCCCCGAUCGAAAUUCCAAUCGAUUAAUCCUAAAUCCCAAAUCCUGCGCGAGUUUUAUCAAGAUCCAUCCCAUGUUCGAGGAACCCCCGUCCGUUUCCACACCGCCCUUGGAUCUAAAGAUCCUUCGAUCGCGAUACCGGCUUAUCCAAUUUCCUGCCGCAAUUCGGAUCACUCGACCCAUUAUCAUCGACCCCCGACACGUCCACAGACUCGGAGGAUUUCGGUUACUUCUGCUUUUCAACGCGUCAUGGAAUCGAAAUGGCGGUUCGUGGCUGGCCGCAUUUGUCAGCCCAUGCUUGACGUUUCGAUCUCGUCGAUUGGGGCUGUCGUCCCACGUACACGUUCAUUAAUAUUUUCCUCGUGGAAAUAUUUGACGACCAGGAGUAUCAUCCGAGGUAGUUAAAAGAAUAUAUAUAAAUAUUUCUUAAUUUUUGAUCAUUUUGUCCUUAUUUGUGAUAGAAUUAAUAAAGUAAAGUGAGUAUCUUUGUAUUAUAUUAUAUUGUCAAUAGAUGUUUAAAAUAAUAUUGUAAGCAAGUUUUCAAUUUUGUGCCAAUCUUCCGAAACUAACUUAAUUUUUAAUAGAAACAAUUCUACGAUAUUUAAUAUUUAAUAUUUAUAUUUAUACCGUUUCAGCUACCCUAAUCUGUGCAAACAUUGUGAAUAAACUGAAGAAAAAAAAACAGAUGCAGAUCCGGCUCCAAGGAUUUACUUUUGAACGCACAUUAAAUAUGAAAAAAAGCCACAUUACGCUCUCCACACGAUCGAAACAACGAACCACCCCCGCGAAAAAUCGGGAAUAUUGCGCGGUUCAAACGAGCCGUCGCGAAUUAAUAACGGCGGCGCUUUUAACCACAGAUAAAAACUGUUUUCGAUUCGGAGAUUACACGGUGAAAAUACGCAAUACACGUCCUCCUAGAUACGAUCCUCCCCUCCCCCUUUCUCCUAGUGAAAUCCAUUUCCAGAUAAAGCCGGGCACAAAAGCUUCCUCGCGCUGCUCUCAUCCUGCCCGAGUCACCUGUAUCGAUGCGAGAAAGCAAGAAAAUCCAAAAAAUAAGCUCGCCUCUUGAAAUGAACCACGUGCUCAAAGGUAAAUGGAUCACACGUACACGUAUACACGGAGGAAAAUUAACGAAAUUGAAAUAUAGAACGAAAAAGAGGGGCGCGUUUCGAAUCAUUUUUAUGUAUGUGCAAGCUAUUGUGCAGGAAGCUGGUAUUGUCGAAGAUAUUUUGCUUUAUCAGCUUUGCAAUAUCGUGGAUUUUAACACAAAAAAGUGGGUUAAAUAAUAUGAGAUAAUACGAAACAGGAAGAAUUGUUUUUAUAGUUUAUCAUUUUUGAUACAGUUUAUCUUUGUUUUAAUCGUUAACGUUGUAAAAAUAAGUUAAUUGAAUACCGGAAGAUUGCAACUUUUAGCGAUUAGAAUUGUUUGAUCGUAUUAUUAAUUUAGUUUUAAUAUAAUUUUUAAGUGUGCAGCGUUAGUGUUACGCGAUUAGCGAGUCAUUUAUUUGAAUCUUUCAAGAUUGUACAGCGAUUGUACACUGUUUCCAGAAAAAUAAUUAUAUCAGUUGCACGUUCAUUAUUCAUAAUUAUAUCACGUUAUACAAUUACAUUCGAUUGUAUACUUUAUUUAAAUUCGAUAUAAAAGAUUACACAAAAAUUGUAAAGAGAAAUUCACGACGAAACGAGAGGAUAUUUCAAUCUUGAUUUUAAGAAAGCAAACACGAUUCGUUAUGCGUGAUAUUUGCCGGAAACAAUCCUAUUGUAUAUAUUGAUUUCGUAUUAGCUGGAUUAUAGAAGAUCGAUGCAAUUUCUGAUAUCAAUCGGCCUAUUUCCUUUGUGAUUACCUUUGUCCAAGAGGCAGCCCGUGCAAUUUUCCUGACAUCCUGUUGCUACGUGUUCUCCAAUAUUGACGAGCAUGCAAUUACCCCUAUUGUCUGCUUAAUUAUAACCGUCUAAGCCAGUGAAACGGCAUUAUUAAACAUCGAAUCUGCUCUACUAUUUUUUCCCCCCUGUCAAUAUUUUGAUAAAACGAAAAUCCUCUGUUAUUACUCGAUCCAGUUUAUUAAAAUAUUUAUUAUACAUCUUUCUUUUCCUCGGUGAAUUUAAUAAAUUUAUCUCGAGAAGAAGAAAUAUUUCGAAGUGUCAGUUAAUUAAUCGUCAAUAAGCAAAAUCGUAUAUUGAUUUAAUUUUAAUUUAACGCGUACAAUUCGAGCGAAUUUAACUCGAAUAUAGAAGUUUCGUUUUUAAAUUUUUGUGAGAAUAACUUUACGUUUAUAGAUAAUUCGAGAACUUUGAUGUUAUUUAAAGCGAAAUCAAAAUACGAGGAAAGUUUAUAUAUUGCAGGAAGGGGAAAGAAUUUUAUAAUACUAUAAUAACAUAAUAUCCACAUGCGAUGAACUGUGUAUAUUGUGAAUAAAUACGCCGGGAAUUUAUAUAAAUGUGAGGGAUGUAAAUCUCUUGAGAUUAAUAUGCAGCAAGUGAAAUAAUAUAAUGUGUUCUAUGCAAUUUAAUUACGCAAAUUUUCUUUUAACUUAACUUUGCAGGGUUUUGCUUUUACGAAUCGUUGAAUUUUUUCGUGGACGAUUUUUCACAACAAACAAUUUUGAAAUGAAAAGGAAAUCUUAUUCGAUAAAGAUCACGAUAAAUUAAUAAAAAAAUUAAUAUCUCUUUAUUCUCUUCUUCUGACUUUUCAUCUUCGUCUUCAAAUUAUCUUCAAAUGACUUUCGAGUAAUUAAACAUGUCGACAAUUUUUUUCUCGAUUUCUACUCAUUAUCGUGUCCCGAAUAUCACGAAAAUCCGACAAGCGAAUUACAAAAAAAAACAGGAAUAAAUGCAUAUGUACAGAGAGCAGCGAUAAUUGUCAAAAAAAAAAAAAGAUGCGGUUUCCAGUCGAAAAAAGGGAGUGGAUUUACGUGGAAGGGUGGAUCGAUAAGGGUGAUGGAUCGACGGAUGGAUCGUGAUUGUACAGAUCGGAACCAAGGAAAAGAAGAGAGGAGUCGAAGGGAAGGAAAAAGGAUUUUUCGAGAAAAAUGAGAGACGGACGAGCGUGGAAGAAUUUAUAGAUAUGUACGUACGAGAUUUCCAGCAACCACAACACUCGUACAAUUAAUUUCACCGUUUUCUAUUCAACCCCUAUCCCUGUAUGCUCGAAUACCACCUCCAGAGGUCGAGGAUUCGUCCCAUUUCAGGCCACUUAAAAUCAAGCCUUCGAUCGGGAGAGGAAUUUAUAGCCAGCCUCCCGUCCAAGAAUUCACCCUCUCGCGGGGCGCAAAGAUAUUUCACGAUUCCCUUGUUUUAUCUCGAAAACGAUUUCGAUCCAUCGGGGAUAAAUUCGAUCCGUGUCAGUGAUAUAACGUAUGGAACGUAAGUGAUGAAUAUUCAUGCGAUGUUUGGGUGUACGGGAGCGAGCAUUAGCAAAUAUUCGACGAUUAAAUUUGGAAUAAUCGAACGGGUUUGGAGGAAAUGCGAGUAAUAAAUAGAAAUUUGUAGAAAAUUUUUGGGGAAGUAUUUAUAUUUUAAUUUGUGGAGAAUUGUUUGUUACGCGUUAUUAAAUGAUCAGAAAUUAAUAAUAAUACUUGAAAAUUUAUUUAAGUAUCAAUUUUUAACUUAUUUCUUUUUCAGGCGGGAAAGAAGGAUUCGCGCUAUUUCUACUGAUUUUUCAUUUAAUUCUUUUGUUAUCUUCGACUGUUAAAUCAAGGAAGAAAUAGCAAGAGUUAAAUUUUCAAACGCGAAGUGACAAUUUUAUUAUUUGUAAAAAAAGCUGAUACAUCCAAAUAGAAAAUAAUAUUCCAUAUCCUUUUUACUGUUCUUCCAUCGUUUAAGUGUAAUAACACGAUUCAUGAUACGAAAUUAAUUUCGUGAAUUAUAAAGUGGUUUUAACAUGGAGUUUAAGACCGAUUGCAAAUGAUUGAAUCUUCGUAAGUAAGUAUAAAUUAUGGAAAAAUAAGAGAAAGGAACAACGAAUUCCACGUUAUCUCGAAAAUGAUGAGCUAUUAAAAAAGACUGAUGGACGUGAAUAAUGUGAAACAUUUCAUGCUUAUAUUUUCCACCUUUUCUCCACGUUGAGGAAGAAAACUAGAAAAGAAAAUCCGCGAUAUCGUUUCUGCAUUUAAACGAUACUUUCAUUUCCACCCCCGUGACUUCAUUCCGUAUUUUAUCGCCGAGAAGAAAAUAUUUUCUAGAUCUCCUUCCCCUUAUAAUUUUGAUGCAAAUUAACGGGAAAUUAUUGGAAAGGUAUGCGGGUUUUAAAUGGAAUCGCUAUUAAAUAUUGAACAUGAGGAAUUACGAAUAAAGUAAGUUGUCAGUCAAGUGUCACAUUAUUGUCAAAAUAUCGAUUCGUCUUUUAUAAUGGAACAUUAACAAUUGCAUUGUAUUUUAUUAUAAAUUUGCAGAUUCAUAUUUUUAUAUGGAUGUAAUUAAAAAGUAUUUUUGAAUGAUAAUAUUUUUAGACAGUUGUUUAAUUUUUAAUCGUAUUAAUUUUGAUUUUGACGAAUUUUUAAUCAAUAUCUCGAAAUUUUAAUUCUUACUUUUCCGAUCUGAUAGUGAAAAGAAUGAACGAGUGGAUAAAAUUGUCUUUAUAUUCAAUAAUAAAACAGAACUUUCAUUUUUCUUGAUAUUGAAAUCAAAAUUACAUUAUUCGAGGGGAUAAAUCAUUUCAAUAUCAUUGAUUGUUUUUAACCUCAACCCUAAAAUUGAUAAAUUCUUUUUCAUUCGAUACUUUUUUAAACAAUUUAUAUUUCCAAUGCGAAAGAAAAUCAACAAUUUCAUCCUUUAAAAUAUUUCUAUCUUCGUAAAAUCUUCGAACAAUUGAAAAAUCUUAAAAGAAGAAAUGGCGAAUGAAGGAGAAAUGGAGGAUUGGAGAAUCGAAUGGAAAGAAAUCCCAAUCUCUAUCAAAUGGACACCUCGAUAAGUAUCAUUUUUACGUGGAUGCUUGAGAAAUUGCUCCUAUCUAAGACCGGUUAUCAUCGUUUAUCGAAUAGUACAUCAUCGUGGAACAGAGAACCAGAGAGAAGUUUCGCGAGAAAUGCGUUUCAAACAGCUCGAGAGAACAUUAACAAUUCACUCAGAACUAUCAUCGGUUCGUCGAUCGAUAAAUCAUUCACGAUUACAUCUCGAUUACCUGUUUCAAUAUUUUUCAACAUAUUAAAACGAGAAUUCGUUACAUCUACGUUAACUGUCUCAUUUAUCAGACUUAAGAAUUAAUUUUUAAUUUUAAUAAUCGUUACAAUUCUACUUUUCAAUAUUGUCAUUUCUCGAAACUUUAUUUAUUUCACAACGGUACAAUAUUUGAACUGUAUUUACAAAAUAUUUACAAAUUUUAUUUUACAUGAUAUUAAUUCGUGAAAUGUAUUCUGUUGCAGGAUCGAUUCUACGCAUCAAAAAAAAAACAGAAGAAAAAGGCAAAAAUAUCGGUUGAAAUUUGUUUAUUAAGUUAUGAACAAAUGAAAAUUUUCAGAUAAAAAUAGACCGAGGAUUUUAUAUUCAGGAUAAUAAAACAUAAUUGUUACAAGAAAAUUUUUGACAUAGAUAUGGACAAGAUUAUAUAUAUCUUUUUUAACAAAGCUUCAUACAAAUAUUUCAUCACAAUUAAUUUUAAAUAAGAUUAAUCCCUGUUAUAUUAUUAUUAUUUUGAAAAAUUGAUUCGAAAAUAGGAUCAUAGGAUCGUGGUCGAAUUAAUUUAAGAAUUAAGACAGUCUUAAAUAUGAUAUCGAAGCAAUUAAACUUCAAAUCAAAUAUUAAGAAAAUUUAUUCGAACAGAUUCUUCUAUAAGCGGCACAAAUUAUACAAUAUUUAAUUAUCUUUAUGAGAUCAGAGAUAUCGAAUUAUAAUAUUAAAAAAUAUAAAUUAAAUAUUAAAUAUCAUAAUAUUUUCAUCCAAUGAAAUUUUUUCCUUAUGAAAAACAAUUUUUUUUGAAAUAAUGACCUAUUUUUUUUUUCUUUUUAUUACCAAACAGAAAUCAUAUGACGCAAAUAUGCAGUGCAGUGCAAACCGAUCGUCGCAAAAGCAUCGUUGAAAAAAGCUUAUGGUUUGUCAACCGAGCCAUUGUGUAAAAUAAAAGUGGGCGAUAUAUGCACGGUAUUGUUCUCGAUAUCGAAUGUUCGAAAAUGAUCUUUUUGAAAAUGGAACCGAAGAAGAAAAGAAACGAGCUACUUCCUCGUCGAGGACAAUUGCAUCACGAUUGUGAAAUUCACUUAUCUUCUCUUUUCUACUUUUUUUCUUUUUUUUUUCAGAUUGGAAAUGUGGAUCCAGAUUCGAGAAUUCUUCUUUUUCCAGGGAGUGAAAAAUAUGGAAUCAUCGAGUUUUUAGAAUUAAUUAUGUGCUUGCAAAGGAAAACGCGAGAGAAUCGUUAUAGUUGUUGGUUUAAUUAUAAAGUUUUUAGAUUCUUUUUUUUUGAUGUUAGGAUUUUGAAUAUUUAUAUCUUUUAAUUUAAUCGAAUUUAAAUUUUAAUCUUUAUUCUUUUGAACCUAAAUUUAACUGAAAUUUAAAUCUUUUUAAAUUGUUGAAUUUAAAUUCAAUUUAAAUUACAAUUCCUAAUUUUUCGAAAUUAAAUUUAUAUUAAAAUUUCGUUCUCCUUCUCUUUCUUUUUUUUAAUUUAAAUUUGGACAUUUUAAUUUUUAAUCGCGUUAUUUAAAACGUAUUAACUUGUAUUUUGUAUUAUAAAAUUUAUUGGAUUUAUGAAUCAGGAAACUAGCAUUUUCCCAAGUUUUUAUUACUUUUUUUUUUUUUAUCUACAUAUGCAGCCGUGGUUAUCCCGCGGAAAGUAUAAAACUUUUAUUUAAAAACUUCCUCUUGUGUCUCUAAUGGUCUCGAAGGAUUGAAACAUCAGAAAUUUCUAGUGAAAUUCUUCCUUUCCUAAUGAAAAGAUUAAUCGCAAAAUAUAUAUAAAUUCCACAUUUAUAGAAAAGUUACGAUGAAAUGAUAUAAAACGCAAAACUAAUAUUAAAAUUAAUAUUAAAAUUAAAAGGAAACGUAUAAAAGAUUUUGUACGAAAAUGAAAAAUUCCAUUCUUACUUUAAGAAAAAUUAAAAUUAUUUCAAAAACUAAAUAUAUUUUCGAAGAGAGAUAAGGGGGAGAAAAAAACAUGCAAAACCAAUCAAUUCUCCCGAUUUUAUUAUUAAUCAAAAUUCAAUGGCUCGUUGCUCGAGUUUUCCUCAUUAAUCGAGCCGAUAAUUGCGGAAAAUUGAAUAAACCACAAAUGCGACACGUUCUCCAAGCAAUCGUCGUUCGUUAGAGCCACGUUUCCACGUAAUUCACCCGCACAGAAUUUUCACGAUCGAAAUCCACGAUCUAAUUCUGACAGAUUCUCGUUUCAGAGAUUACACCCUCCGCUGAAAACGGUUUUCGAUCCGACGGAAUAAAUCCAUCGGGAGGGGAGGGGGUUGCGCGUGAAAAAUACCCUCCGCCCGUUCUCGAAUUUCGAAAUUAACCGGCCAUGUGAAACUUAAUUUUCCACCUUAAUUCGGAAAGGAGAUCCUUUUAACGAGCAAAAAUGACAGGCUUCGUUGUAACGCGUCGCACGGCUUGCUUCGAUUAACAUUUCGGAGGUAAUGCGAGGAGGAAGUGUUCGAUAUUGAGCGAUAUAUAUCUUGCUGGUAGCCAGCCUCGUUGAUAUCAACUUUCGAUAAAUUUUGAAACGUUGACGAAGGUGUUAGAUUUGAACAAAGUAAAUGAUUUCGACGAUCGCUAAGAAAGGGUGGAAGUGUUCGAUGCUCGCGUGAUUUAUUUAUUAGCGAAUUUUGUUUAAGGCGUUGAAACGGAGAUAAACGAAAGAAUCUUCGGUUAUUUUAGAAAUGAAAAUAUUCCAUGUCGAAAUUUUGAUGGAAAUAUAUGGAAGAUAAUUUGGAAUUUAUAGAAAUCUAGCUACUUUGAAUAAUUUGAACAAAGAGAUCUAGAAAUGUAUGUAAUAAAGUAAAACGAAUUGCAAUUGUACAAUUCCAUUAACGAUUCAUUGUCAUAUACGAUAUAAUGAUUAUUUCAACAUAUUUGUUUCUAAUGAUAUCUAAGUGCUUGUAAAAAAAUUUACGAUAAAUUUAGCACAUUGGGAUCAGUGAUAAAUAAAUAUUCAUUCAAGGUGUUCUCUAUCGUGUCAGAAUUCAUUAAAAAUUUAACGAAAUCCGAUAUCGGGUCGCGACUAAUAUAAGAUAACUAGAACCAAACUGGAUUAUAACCUCGUGAUCAGUUCAAGAUGAAAUUAGAAAAUGAAGUUAGUUCUUUCUUUCUUUUUUUUUUUUUUUUUAUAAAAAGGCUUUUUCGAUUCGUUCUGUAUACUUAUACAUAUCAGGAUAUUAAAGGAAAAAGAAAAAAAAAUUGCACGAAAUAUUUCAGAUUUCGUAUAAUCGAAUCUUGCCAUAAUCUAUAUAAUUUGUGACUUGUUAAUAUCAUCGGUUGGCAAAUCAUCAUGCAAAGGGGGUUAAAUAGGUGGUAAUAUCAAGAAUAAUCGGAAUCAUUGAUCGAUUUGUAAUUCAUACCUACUCGUUGUUGUUUCACGUAUAAUCGUAUUACAAUUAUUGCCCCCCGCAUCAUUAAAAUGUUACGUUUAAACGAAAUAAUUGGCCGUCGUGUAAAUCACGUUGGGAUUCUAAACAGGAAUAAUGAAUCAUAAACGGAAUCAUUAUCUUCAACGUCACCUAUAUAACAUUACCUAUAUAAUUAUCCGGUUAAUUAAAUUCCAACAUCGGAUGGACAACUAUUUACGAUCGUUAAUUAAAACGAAUAAUUCGUUGUUCACGAUUGAUUGCAAAUUAUCGAUCGUCAAAAUCUUUUAUCCGAAAUCCAUAUUACAUAUGAAAAAUUUAUCCUUCCUCUAACUGUUCUUCCCGACAAGCCUGCAUUCAUCUUUCCUCUUUUAUUCCAAUUUCCAUUCCAAAAUUACAAUGAUAUCGUACAAUGUACAAAAUGUUCCGCUUUAAUAAUAUAACUCGAUAAACUGAAAGCGGAAAAUCGUUUCAAAACGAUCGAAAAGAAAUAGCUAUAGAAGGAAUAUUAAGGCGUUAAAACGAUUAUGAAAAAAAUUAAUUUAAUUUGUCAAAGAAAAGAUUAAUAGCGCAGAAACGGUAUUCCAUCGUUGUCGAGGAUAAAAAUAUCGAACAAACGACACAUAUAACGCGCUUUGUGCCUCGAUCAGCGACGAAAAGCGAAAAGUGGCGGGCAACAAUGCCGUUCUCGUUUGACUCGGCGUUUACGCGGCAAUCGCGAUAAAUAAAGGCGCACGAAUUGCAACUCGCGAAUCGGCCACGAUUUGUACGAUCACCCUUUAUUGGUUUACGAAAUAUUCGAGGGAGGGAAACGUGGCCGGCAUACGCGUUAUUACCCGAUCGUUAUCUGAUUUCCAGCCGAUUCGCGUGACGUCUCUGAUUAUAAAAAUUGAUUUUGAAUUUAAUUAUUAUUAUUUUGUUUAAAUUUUCGCGCUGUCGAUACGAAGUUUACGAUAACGAGGGGACGGGAUCGUGUUAUCGAAUCAACGUUGUUGAUUGCAAUUUGGAAAUAUCAUUCGUACGAUAUAUCAUUUGUAACUGUAAAUAAUGAUAAAUGGAAACUUAUUUCCUCUUCGAGUUCUCCGCGAUUUUUACAAAUUCGUUUACAGAGAUUUUGAAUUACUUUUCUCUAUAAUUCAUUUCGAUCACAAUGCUAUAUACCGAGCAAAAAAAGAUCGUUCAUAUUAAGUACAUGGCAAGCAUGCGAAUCGAUGAAAAAGCUAUUUGAAUUAUUUCAACCCCAAACCACAGCAUUCUACAAAAUUCCUCAUACUGUUAGUAUUCAUCCAUAGAGAAUUUUCAUUUUCCACGAAUUUUUCAUAUGCGAAAAUAAAACAUAAAACAAUGGGGAUGAUAUGAUAUUCUUUCCCCGUGGAAAUUCGGCGAGGGAGAAAUUGAAGAUAUCGUCUCCUUUCCUCUCCCUGUCUCCAAUAUUUUCAUCCUUUUAAUCCCUUUCAUUUCCACCCAAUCUAUCACUGUUAAGUGGAUAUCGCAUUGUUUUCCUCCUUUCUUGUAUAUCGAGCCACUAGAACUAUUUGAAACGAGGAGAUUCCUCAUUUAAUUUCGUUCUUCCUGACCAAGAUUGCCAGGAUAAAUCGAUAUCGAUGCGUGUGAAAUAUAUAGUAUGGAUUUUAAACGGAUCAAGUUUCGCAAAAAUGGAUGAUAAAGCUCCCAUUGCGUUUCGUUACACGUUGAACGGUAAGUAAACUCGAAUAACGGGGAACGCGUUAUCACGGGGUUGGUUUAAUGAGCCGGAAGCAGUCGGAGAGCACGUUUGAGCGUGACGGUUGGCAAAAAGGGAGGCGAGGAACGCCAUCGACGCGAAUACGUCGCUCGAAAUAAGCCACUCGCGAGCUUCGGCUGUUCGAUGAACGCCUAAAAAUAUCUGGCCGCCUAGAAAUCGUCGAUUCGCUGUUCGUCGUUCUAUUGUCGUUCGUUCAAAGAUUUUCUUUUUUUUUUUUAGCAAGCUUUGCGUUUCGUGAGUUUUACGACUUGGGAAUUCCUCUUUGAUUUCUCUUUUUCCUUUUUUUCUUUUUCUUUUUCCCCCCCCGUUUCUAUUAGUGUUCGUCUUGCGUUGUGGAAUAUUCUGUUUGGAAUCGGGUACCCGAGGUGUAAGUAAUUGGUAGAGGGUUGAAAUUUUAGAGAUGCGAGUUUUGGAGGGAUUUUAAGGUAAAUAUUUGUUCGAGUAUUUUUUUUUUGGCGGGAGGAAUUUUAACGAGAUACGCGCAUUAUAAAAAUUACGAAUUUGGAAUUGAAAAAAAUUGUAGAAUUUCAUUAUGGAAAGGAGAUUCUGGAAUAAGAAUAAGAGCGAGUGUUUCUGUUUCAGAUAUUAUUUUUUCAAAAUAUCCACGACGAGAUAUCUUUAAAUUCCUUCGAAUAGAUUUUCUAUCUCUUAACUCGAAUUCUAAUUCCAAAUCCGUCCAAAUAUCAAAUUCGUAUAAACUGUACGUAAAACUUAUUUUUCCUAAUAAACCAGUAAAUACACGAUAUCAAGUAAAAAUAAUGUUCGAUUUUAUGAUUUUACAAACGAAAGGAAAGAAUCACACAAUUCGAGUCGCCACUUGUUCUUUCACCCGCUAAAGUUUUUCCAUCAAACACUAAAGUUUUUAUUGUUGAACGACAAUAAACCUUUUCUAAGCAUCCGCAAAUAGUUCCAUUAAAGAUUCAAAGAGGCGUUCUCAUAAUUCUUCGCUAAUGCAAAAAUGGUCGGGGGAAGCCAUAGAACGAAUAUUCCGCUUCAAAAAGGAUUAAAAGCUGGAGCAGUAUCGACUUUUUGAGUGUUUAAAAAUGAAAAUUUCCAUUACUAUCGACGACUCGGAAAUCCUUCCUCGAUCGCAAAUUAUGCAUUGUUAUUAUACGUUUUCCUCUUUUAUCCAUCGCGUGGAAAUUCAUUCGUCACGUUGAAAAAAAUUCUUUCGAUUGUUUCGAAAUAAAAAUUCUCUGAUCGUUUCUCCACUGUUUUCACAACGGGAAAGAAAAGGGUAAUUAUUCUUAUAUUCUACGUCUUCCAUUUAUGUGAAAAUUAUUUCAUUAUUAAAAUGAUCUAAUUGUUCAAUUUUUUUUUUUUAAUCGAACAUCCACGAUUCUUGAUGCGUUAUAAUAUGAAAAUAUAUUGCAAAUUUCAAUUUCCUUUUAAAUCCAAUUCCAACGAUAUAAAAGUAAUAUUUAAACAAGUUACGUCACUAGUUAAUGCUCUCUAGUUCAGUAUUCAUGAAUGUAUAAAAUCGAAUCUACGUUUUCGUCGUAUAAAAAGGGGCAUAAAAUGAUGACACGGUGUAGAUGACAAAAGAUGAAGAGGAUAUCAUAUCGUUGUUGAAUCAGAUGAAAAAUUAGAUUCGUAUUAUUAAUGACAUUUUUAGAAUUAACAGUCUUAAUCAAACCUCUUACAUCGUUUCGUUAUACGAAUUAAAAAUUAAUCCUUCUACGUUAAAUUAUAAGAGAUUUUGAUAUAGCAAAAUUAAAAUUUUUAUAUUUUAAAUUAAUGAUUAAAGAGAAAAUUCAUUGUAGCUCUUCGGUUUCUAAUUACUCGUAUCAACGAUCUAAAUUAAUAAUUGUAAAAAUUAUUAAUAAUUAAUAUUAAUGUUCAUAUUUGCAAAGUUUCGUAUAAAACAUAAUCUAUUCGACUAAUUAUUCCUUGCAGUUUUUUUAUUUUCACACGAUCUUUCUAACGAAAUUAGUCCCAGUAUCCAUGAAGCCUUUUUAUUACUCUUCAUUUUUGCCAAAGAAGAUUAGUUACAUUGAAAAAAGAAACGAAUGAAAGGUUCUCUGCUCGGCGCUUUCUCACCUUAUUCAUUCACGGUUCAGUUCGUUCGAAUUUUUAGAAAAUCACAUUGCCGCUAAACCUUUUAAAUCUUUUUGUUUGAGAUAGGAUCCUGAAUUAUAAAAUUUAGGUCACCAAGUAUAAAUGAAAUCGGUGAUGGAUCCAGAUCUAUCUAAUUAAAUCAAUAAGCAUUUCUUUCAUUUUUAAAUUAAAUUAAAAGAAACAAUUCAAAACAAGUGUACUUAAAAUUGAAUGCAAAAAUAUAUUUAUAUAUUUCAAUAAUUUUAUAGAAACGAAGUUCUACGACUACUUUCCGUCAUAUUUGAGAGUCUGCAGUGUCUCCAUUUUAAAGAAAAAUGGCGUAGAAGCUUAAAGUAACGCAUAAAAGCUUUCGUAUCACAAAUCGUCACAAGAAUCGCCAUUAGUCGAACGUGAGAAUUUCUUCGAGCAAUUACUCACGAGUAUUAUGAUCACCAAAGUGCUUGAAGAUAAUUUAGGGUUACUUGGAACAACUUGGGGACAUGUGACUCGGUGCUUCAUAAUGUUAAUUACGAACUUCGUGAAGUUCGCAGGCUUGUCGAGUUAAGCUUUUCAUAAAUCUCGUAUAUCGGUAAAUUUGGAGAAAAUUAUGCGAGCGAGUGGAGCAUUCGUUCAGAACGAAAAUGGAAUCGUCGACAUUAUCCACAAAAACUUAAUAAUAAAUGGAAUCUUUUUUUAUGUAUGAUUUGGAGCUUUCCAAACUUUUUUUGAGACAGUAUCCUCUUUUGUGACAACCAAAUAACUGGCUACACUCUUUCCUUCUUACAAAAUUACAUUUUAAUAAGAUAAAGUGAACGUAAUAUUUUAUUUUUGAAGAAUUAAGUGAAGAGAAUAAAAAUAAUAUCUUGUUUUUCAAAUUAUUAAAUUUGUCAAAUCCCAUAUAAUUUGAAAGAUUUCUUGGAUGUAACACAUCCAGAAUAUAUAUGUACACACACUUUGUCACGACUGUUUGUUUUCUUUCAGUUCGACGAAAUUAAAUAAUCUCCUUAUUUAUUAUUACAAACGACAUCCGAGUGUACGUGGCUUUAUUUCGAAAUUAUUCUUUCGAAAGUAUUCAACAUUGCGUACAAGAAUGUUACGAUGACCGGAAAUUGUGAGAGAGUGGAAUUUAUGAAAGACGCGUGAAACGAAGAAUAAAAUUCUUUAACGAUUCCAACAGUUUCUUUCUUAUUUAUAUCGAAAUUAUAUGUAAAUGUAAGUAUAGCAAUAUCGUGUAUAAUAAUGUAAAAUGUGUUUAAUAUAAUUUGUAAUAAUAGAAUAAUUUUAAAUUGCAUACAUUCGAGUUUCGAUUUCUAAUUGAACGAUGAGAAAUUGUGGAAGAAAAUUAUUUAUGAGAUUGAAUUUUGUGUAACGAGAAAAAGUAAGUCAAAUUUCAUAGAUCAACGUAAUCUUUAGAAUAUAUAAAAAUGAUAAUUUUAAUUUUAUUAUACAGAUUGUAAAUUAAUUUAUUGCGAUUAAUCAUAGUUAUGCUAUGAUUAAACAAAUGUGUCCGUUAACUAAAUAAUUAAUGUGCUAAUAUAUAUGCAAUAUAUAUUAAAUUCUUGUUCAAUAAAUUCAUAUUAUAUAUCGAUUAA